UGAAAGCCCUGGGCUCAACCUGGGAACUGCAGUGGAUACUGGACGACUAGAGUGUGGUAGAGGGUAGCGGAAUUCCUGGUGUAGCAGUGAAAUGCGUAGAGAUCAGGAGGAACAUCCAUGGCGAAGGCAGCUACCUGGACCAACACUGACACUGAGGCACGAAAGCGUGGGGAGCAAACAGGAUUAGAUACCCUGGUAGUCCACGCCCUAAACGAUGCGAACUGGAUGUUGGGUGCAAUUUGGCACGCAGUAUCGAAGCUAACGCGUUAAGUUCGCCGCCUGGGGAGUACGGUCGCAAGACUGAAACUCAAAGGAAUGACGGC
rnacentral:rRNA from 1 species